GCGAACUUUAGAUUCAUUGGUUGUGGUGCUGGUGGGCCCAUUAGUACUCGCAGCAGUUUGAUCAGAAGACGAAUCCUUCUCUAUUGACGAUAAGAGAUCGUCGACGGGGAGAGUAGGAUCUAGGCGGCGAGCUUUGGUAAUGAACUUCAGAGCACGAGUUCUAUCACCGGAUUCUAGUGCGUCCUUACCGAUUUUCAAGCAUUUCAA
rnacentral:misc_RNA from 1 species